UACGAAGGGGGCUAGCGUUGUUCGGAAUCACUGGGCGUAAAGCGCACGUAGGCGGAUCUUUAAGUCAGGGGUGAAAUCCCGAGGCUCAACCUCGGAACUGCCUUUGAUACUGGGGAUCUCGAGUCCGGGAGAGGUGAGUGGAACUGCGAGUGUAGAGGUGAAAUUCGUAGAUAUUCGCAAGAACACCAGUGGCGAAGGCGGCUCACUGGCCCGGAACUGACGCUGAGGAGCGAAAGUGUGGGGAGCGAACAGG
rnacentral:rRNA from 1 species